ACUGCUCAGUAACACGUGGAUAACCUGCCCUUGGGUCCGGCAUAACCCCGGGAAACUGGGGAUAAUUCCGGAUAACGCAUAUAUGCUGGAAUGCUUUAUGCGUAAAAUGGAUUCGUCUGCCCAAGGAUGGGUCUGCGGCCUAUCAGGUAGUAGUGGGUGUAAUGUACCUACUAGCCGACAACGGGUACGGGUUGUGAGAGCAAGAGCCCGGAGAUGGAUUCUGGGACAUGAAUCCAGGCCCUACGGGGCGCAGCAGGCGCGAAAACUUUACAAUGCGGGAAACCGUGAUAAGGGGACACCGAGUGCCAGCAUCAUAUGCUGGCUGUCCAGGUGUGUAAACUACACCUGUUAGCAAGGGCCGGGCAAGACCGGUGCCAGCCGCCGCGGUAACACCGGCGGCCCGAGUGGUGAUCGUGAUUAUUGGGUCUAAAGGGUCCGUAGCCGGUUUGGUCAGUCCUCCGGGAAAUCUGUCGGCUCAACCGUUAGGCUUUCGGGGGAUACUGCCAGGCUUGGAACCGGGAGAGGUAAGAGGUACUACAGGGGUAGGAGUGAAAUCUUGUAAUCCCUGUGGGACCACCUGUGGCGAAGGCGUCUUACCAGAACGGGUUCGACGGUGAGGGACGAAAGCUGGGGGCACGAACCGGAUUAGAUACCCGGGUAGUCCCAGCCGUAAACGAUGCUCGCUAGGUGUCAGGCAUGGCGCGACCGUGUCUGGUGCCGCAGGGAAGCCGUGAAGCGAGCCACCUGGGAAGUACGGCCGCAAGGCUGAAACUUAAAGGAAUUGGCGGGGGAGCAC
rnacentral:rRNA from 1 species